rnacentral:tRNA from 1 species
GUAGCUCAGUGGCAGAGUACUUGCCUUGCAUGCAUGAGGUCCUGGGUUCGAUUCCUCAGC